rnacentral:piRNA from 1 species
UAAUGCUGCCAUUGAGAGAAGCUCACC